GAUGAACGCUGGCGGCGUGCCUAAUGCAUGCAAGUCGAGCGAACGGACGAGAAGCUUGCUUCUCUGAUGUUAGCGGCGGACGGGUGAGUAACACGUGGAUAACCUACCUAUAAGACUGGGAUAACUUCGGGAAACCGGAGCUAAUACCGGAUGAUAUUUUGAACCGCAUGGUUCAAAAGUGAAAGACGGUCUUGCUGUCACUUAUAGAUGGAUCCGCGCUGCAUUAGCUAGUUGGUAAGGUAACGGCUUACCAAGGCAACGAUGCAUAGCCGACCUGAGAGGGGGAGGGGCAACACAGGAAAUGAUCCGCGGUCCAGGCACCCAGGGGGGGAACACGGAGGGAGUCUGCCGAAGGGGGGGAAAUCCUAAAGGGCAGCCACGAGGGGAGUAAAGAGGUUUUGCGAACCGUAAACCUCUUUUUUGAGGGAAAAAAAAAUGCGAAGGUAACGAUGCCGCCCGGGGCGGGCCCAAUACAGAAACGAACGCCUAACUAAGG
rnacentral:rRNA from 1 species